UACGUAGGGUGCAGGCGUUAAUCGGAAUUACUGGGCGUAAAGCGUGCGCAGGCGGUUUGUUAAGACAGAUGUGAAAUCCCCGGGCUUAACCUGGGAACUGCAUUUGUGACUGGCAAGCUAGAGUAUGGCAGAGGGGGGGUAGAAUUCCACGUGUAGCAGUGAAAUGCGUAGAGAUGUGGAGGAAUACCGAUGGCGAAAGGCAGCCCCCCUGGGCCCAAUACUGACGCUCAUGCACGAAAGCGUGGGGAGCAAACAAGG
rnacentral:rRNA from 1 species